UACGAAGGGGGCUAGCGUUGUUCGGAAUUACUGGGCGUAAAGCGCGCGCAGGCGGUCCUUCAAGUCAGAGGUGAAAGCCCAGAGCUCAACUCUGGAACGGCCUUUGAGACUAGAGGACUAGGGUACGGGAGAGGUGAGUGGAAUUCCGAGUGUAGAGGUGAAAUUCGUAGAUAUUGGGAAGAACACCAGUGGCGAAGGCGGCUAACUGGUCCAGAUCUGACGCUGAGGUGCGAAAGCGUGGGGAGCAAACAGG
rnacentral:rRNA from 1 species